rnacentral:rRNA from 1 species
UACGGAGGAUGCGAGCGUUAUCCGGAUUCAUUGGGUUUAAAGGGUGCGCAGGCGGGGCAUUAAGUCAGUGGUGAAAUGAGACGGCUCAACUGUCUGGCUGCCAUUGAUACUGAUGUUCUAGAGUGUAAUUGGAGUGGGCGGAAUGUGUCAUGUAGCGGUGAAAUGCUUAGAUAUGACACAGAACACCGAUCGCGAAGGCAGCUCACUAAGUUAAGACUGACGCUCAUGCACGAAAGCGUGGGGAUCAAACAGG